GCCGUCAGAGGGCGGUGAAUUUCUUGAAUCACUGCGUUCGUAAAUGAAGUCUGUUACGUAACCUUUAGCGGAUCAAACUUUCUGUGCAAAAGGGCAUUAUUCACUAUUAUUUAUACAGUUUGAACAAUUUUCAUGGACACCUAUUUGUAAAGUUCUCGCUUUGAUCGCCACAUGUGUAGUGCUACAGAUAUUAUGGAAAAGGAGAAACAUAGUACGCCAAUGGGACGUAAUAAUCUUCUAUGAACCCCUAGAAGAUCCAUGGGAAGAACUUUUAGGACAUCCAUUUGCUAAACGAAAAGCUGUGAUCGACGACGAAGUGACGAGGAUGACGAAGAAAGCUGA